CCUACGGGGGGCAGCAGUGGGGAAUAUUGCACAAUGGGGGAAACCCUGAUGCAGCGACGCCGCGUGAGUGAAGAAGUAUUUCGGUACGUAAAGCUCUAUCAGCAGGGAAGAAAAUGACGGUACCUGACUAAGAAGCCCCGGCUAACUACGUGCCAGCAGCCGCGGUAAUACGUAGGGGGCAAGCGUUAUCCGGAUUUACUGGGUGUAAAGGGAGCGUAGACGGCAGCGCAAGUCUGGAGUGAAAUCCCAUGGCUUAACCAUGGAACUGCUUUGGAAACUGUGCAGCUAGAGUGCAGGAGAGGUAAGCGGAAUUCCGAGGGUAGCGGUGAAAUGCGUAGAUAUUAGGAGGAACACCAGUGGCGAAGGCGGCUUACUGGACUGUAACUGACGUUGAGGCUCGAAAGCGUGGGGAGCAAACAGGAUUAGAUACCCCUGUAGUC
rnacentral:rRNA from 1 species